rnacentral:lncRNA from 1 species
AUGACUUGGUUUGGGUUUAGGAUUGACCUUUAAGCUAAUUGGUAGUUGAGUAAACUGACCAAGGCUAAUGUGAUUCGACCAGACAAGUGUUAGAUUGGUUUUAGACCAAUGGUUAAUUAGAAAAUAAUCCGCUGCGUAUCUGUUGAAAGGAUCUAAGCUAUUAAUGACUAGGGAAGUCUUUAGCUAAGGUUUAAGUUAGCCCUCGCCUGUGGGCGAUAUUAUAAAUAAAGGGCAAAAUUAAGAGGUUCGGCCAGGAAGUGGACCGAGCGACGUGAGGCAUCGACCGCGGCCUAGGCGGCCGGGAUCGGGUCUUACAGGAACUCUCCUUGGACGGUUGAUGGAUCGAUCAUUAUCAUAAGACUCUUCUCGGAUUUCUAGGUCGGACCGGCUGUUCCUCCUUGGAUGGUCACGUCUGGUUCUGGUUCGUGACUGAGUUGGACGGCCCUGAAGUUCAUCAAGCCUCUGAUGGAUCGCCUCCAAACCUGUAUUCAACACGUUAGACAUAGAAUCAUUGAGAGCACGCAUUUGCAAGUUAGAUAAUCCGGCAUAUGAAUUUCCGGGUCGGUUUCUUUCUUCUUCACUAUCCAUGGUUACCUGAAAACUUAAACAAGGUAAAGUUAGAUUAAAAACCUCACACACUCAGGUGUUUAUCCUCACCCACACACGUGUUUCACUCAAUUUUUGUUGGUAAUCACACAAGAGAGUUCCUCCCAAAGUUCUAAGAGAGCAAACUAGAUCACCCAAUGAGCAAAUCCAAGUGAACCAAAGAUCAAGAGAGAAAGAUAAGAGAUUUAGAGGGGAACCCGCCUUAACCACCUCAAAGACCGGAUUUCUCUUCGGCCAGCAGGCUUUCUCUUCCACCACCACACCACAAACAAAUCAAACUUUGGAAUAUCCUUUUUUUUUUAUACUUUUCUUUUUUUUUUUAUAUAGAUCUUUCUCUUUUUUUUUAUAUGGGGGUAAUGAGGGGCCCGGGUUCAAGAUAGAGAGAUAAGAAAUUUAGAUGAAGAAUAUGGAAGAUGAAAUGAAAUGGAUUGAAAAAGAGUUACCGAGAGAGUGGCUCUGAUACCACUUGAUAGAACCAAAAUAAGGAUCACUCUUUCGGUAAGGUUGAUAUGAACUCAGAUCCGAGAGGAUUGAGAACUGAUGGAUCGAGGGGUGACACUAAGGGUUGCGGAAUAGCCCAAAGAUACUACCAUAGAUUCGAAGGUUGCCGGAUGUGACGCACCGGUCCAACACAACGAAGUGGUUCGCUUGGAGAUGACCUCACCAGAGAAGUAUGAAUGUUCUAAGCAAAGAACAAUGAGAGAAGACUCAAAAGAAGCAAAGGAAAAUCGAUGUGAAUUUAUUAAGGGGGGUCAUCACAUACUUAUAAGGUUUGUGAGUCAAAGAAACAUAAAGACAUUUGUGGGAAAAGACAACAUAGAAGAUAGAAAUGAAUGAAAACAAGACAUAGAAACUAGAAAUGAAGACUUUGACUAAAGACUGGUCAAGGUGCGGAUUCUUGUGUUGACUGGUCCAGAUUCACAAAGAUGUCCAGGUUCAUUCUGUGGUGAUCAGGUCGUCCGCGGUAAGGAGCAGGAUGGAUGUAAGGCUGCCCG